AGAACGAACGCUGGCGGCGUGGAUAAGACAUGCAAGUCGAACGAUCAUGUUUGAGCAAUCGAGCAUGGGAGUGGCGCAAGGGUGCGUAACACGUGGGUAAUUUGCCAUGAAGACUGGGAUAACUCGUCGAAAGACGAGCUAAUACCGGAUGUGAUUGAAAGAUCAAAGCUGGGGACCGCAAGGCCUGGCGCUUCAUGAUAAGCCCGCGGCCUAUCAGCUAGUUGGCGGGGUAAAAGCCCACCAAGGCGAAGACGGGUAGCUGGUCUGAGAGGACGACCAGCCACACUGGAACUGAGACACGGUCCAGACACCUACGGGUGGCAGCAGUCGAGAAUUUUUCACAAUGGGCGAAAGCCUGAUGGAGCGACGCCGCGUGGGGGAUGAAGGGCUUCGGCUUGUAAACCCCUGUCAUUCGUGAACAAAGCUGGCGGGUGAAUAGCCUGGCAGUUGAUAGUAGCGGAAGAGGAAGGGACGGCUAACUCUGUGCCAGCAGCCGCGGUAAUACAGAGGUCCCGAGCGUUGUUCGGAUUUACUGGGCGUAAAGGGUGCGUANGCGGUGAGGUAAGUCUGGUGUGAAAUCUCCGGGCCUAACCCGGAAAAUGCAUUGGANACUAUCUGACUAGAGACUUGGAGGGGAGAUCGGAAUUCUCGGUGUAGCAGUGAAAUGCGUANAUAUCGAGAGGAACAUCAGUGGCGAANGCGGAUCUCUGGACAAGUACUGACGCUGA
rnacentral:rRNA from 1 species